GCCUCGAUGACGUAUCCUUCCAACGAGACACAGCUCCCUUCUCACUCAGAGCGCUCCCUUUUGUUAAAGAGAGUCAUAGCAACCAUGUUACGUUCCGUUUCCGUUUGUCUUACGAAGGCCGUCUCGUUUAAACGAGACUUGUUUAAAGGAGGACGCUCGGUAUACUGCAGCCUUCAAAGGAUGCGUCCUACCUAGCACGCAGUCUUCGAAACGAGACACCGCUAUAGACUUUACAAUUCAAUGUUUCUUUGCUCAUAAUCUGUAUUUCACUGGAUUGUAUGCCAAUUUAUGAGGACCUUAUAUAUUGCCUGCAUAAAUAUGUAGCACAUAAACAAACAAACUGGACAUAAUAAUCUUGCUAUCAAGUUAGGUAAACAAAGGGUAAUGACAUACAGAGCAUAACUCCGAAAACACUUGGGGGAAAUAACUUGCUAAUAACAUGUCGUUUUAUUCACUAAGCCACACCAGUAAAGUUUCUUUAAGAUAUCAAUUCGAUUUUCAACCCGCCUCUACUAAAGGCAGCCAUGCUGUCAGGAGGAAGGACCCCUGUCAGCCGUUAUAGGUGUCUUAAAAGAUGCCUGAGUGAAUGUGUUUUAACAGUACAUUGCCUAUUAAAAGUAAGGGUUAUAACAAGAUAUUUUGUACGAGUCGUAGUUGAGUUCAACAUGUAUUUUAUCAACUAAAAACAAUGGUAUAAAUAGAAUAAACAAGAAUGCAUCAAAAUGACAGACAAAAUAAUAUAAAUUUUAACUUUUCUACUUGAACAAAGGUACAUACACAUAAUGUCCUCGUUAACAAACUUAUAGUUAUCAUAUUUAAAAUAAAGGAAACCAUCAGAAUCGGGGUGGAGCCGAAUAAGAUUGAUAGGCAAUCGGGCCAAUCAAAAUGCAGGCAUGGUUUCUAGCUGCAAGCUGAUUGGCUAUAGCAGUGACUGCGCAGUUCAAUUAACAAUCACAAUCAAGUAACUCUAGGGGGAGACAGACGCUCUACUCUCCUCGCUGCGUAGUUAUUUCGCAAACGCUGUGACUCACCAUGCCUGUGGAUAUUAAUGAAUGGACAGGUGCUCUAGCUCUCACUGAGGUGGAGGAGAAACCAGCCAAGCCUUUAACCGUCAGAUAUGGGGCUUUGGAAAUUGACGCGCUGGGAAAAGUCCUCACACCCACUCAGGUCAGAUGCACGUGCAUGCAGGAAUUAGGCCAGUGCCUGUAGCCUUGCAAUGAUUCUGCACCAUGCAUGACCUGCUAAUACGAGUUUGCCAAAGAGAAUGGUGCAGAACCGCCCAACAUCAGUUGAAUGGGAGGGUUGUGACCCCAGUAAGCUAUACACCUUGGUAUUGACCGAUCCAGAUGCACCCAGCCGAAAAGACCCGAAAUUUAGGCCUGCAUCGUUACAUGUGGCUGGUUUAUGAACAGUCAGGUAGUAUCAGCUGUACUGAACCUGUUCUCACUAAUCGCUCUGGAGACAACCGUGGAAAAUUCAAGACCCGGAGUUUCUGUAAGAAGUAUGGCCUCGGUGCUCUGGUCGCUGGGUCUUGCUAUCGGGCAGAGUGGGAUGACUACGUGCCCGAACUUUACGAACAGCUGGCUGGCAAAUAAGGACCAUUUAUGCCACGGUUUAUUCAGAACGAGUCCUGGCUCGGUUCAGAUCUGAUUUAGCCAUUGCAAGAGAUGAACUAAAGUAGAGGAAAGUUCAUAGAACUAGAUUUGUGAAUUUUCUGGUCAUCUUUUGCACUGUCUGAAUAAAAAUGGAACUGAGCAAGCAUAGUUUCAGACUAUGCCUUUAUGUCAGAUAACUUAUGCUAGGUAUUUGGCCUGCCUUCAGUUUAAAAUUGCUGUCGAAUAAGUUGAAAUAUAGACUGUGCACCUUAAAAUCAAAUUUGUCUUGUAUCUGUGAUGGCACCUUUAAUAAAUUGCUUGCAGUAAUGCUUUCUUAUGCA